GAUCACCGGAGCGUCCUCCACCACCGAGAGCAUCGUGGGCAUCCUCGGAAACGUCCUUCCGAUGAGGUACCCGUCCCACGAGGCCCGAGGCUCGUCAAAGGAGUAUCUCGGGUCGUCGAACGACAUCCGACCCGCGUCGAGCGACAUCCGACCCGCGUCAAGCGAAAACCUCGGAUCCGUGUCGCAGGAACGCCGGCCGAAGCCGUAAUCGGCGAUCUCCGACUGGGUUUCUCUGAACUGUCUCCCGAUUGGCUUCUCCACCGGCAAUGUGGCCGAUCCGCAGCCGUUCCG
rnacentral:lncRNA from 1 species